rnacentral:rRNA from 1 species
GACGAACGCUGGCGGCGUGCUUAACACAUGCAAGUCGAACGGAAAGGCCCUGCUUGCCGGGUACUCGAGUGGCGAACGGGUGAGUAACACGUGGGUGAUCUGCCCUGCACUUCGGGAUAAGCUUGGGAAACUGGGUCUAAUACCGGAUAGGAACCAUCUUUAGUGUGGUGGUUGGAAAGUUUUUUCGGUGUAGGAUGAGCUCGCGGCCUAUCAGCUUGUUGGUGGGGUAAUGGCCUACCAAGGCGGCGACGGGUAGCCGGCCUGAGAGGGUGUACGGCCACAUUGGGACUGAGAUACGGCCCAGACUCCUACGGGAGGCAGCAGUGGGGAAUAUUGCACAAUGGGCGCAAGCCUGAUGCAGCGACGCCGCGUGGGGGAUGAAGGCCUUCGGGUUGUAAACUCCUUUCGCUAGGGACGAAGCUUUUUGUGACGGUACCUAGAGAAGAAGCACCGGCUAACUACGUG